rnacentral:tRNA from 1 species
GCAGUGGUGGUUCAGGGGUAGAAUUCUUGCCUUCCAUGCAGGAGACCCAGGUUCAACUGCUGGCCAACGUA